rnacentral:lncRNA from 1 species
UUUUCUUGAAGAACAUGAUGAAGCUGCCCCCCUCCCCUCUUCUUCCACAUAAAGACUUAAGAAGUAGGAUAUUAGCUUCAUAAUAGUCUCAUGAAACCACAGGGUCCGGCUCUUCCAGAAGAUUGUUGAUCACAAAGGUAAGGCGAAAGGUCCAUAUGCCAUCUCACAUGGAUCCCAGCUGCCUAAUGAACUGUAGGUAACAGAAUUUCCGAAUGCAUAACUUCUUGUAUCUUUUAAUUUCUUUUAUAUCCUAGCUUCUUGUUUACUUCAUAUUUAUAUUGUUUUCUUUAAAACUUUGAACAGAAAGGUCAAUUUGCUUCUCACAGGGAGUUCGAAAAACUCGGA